rnacentral:rRNA from 1 species
GUGGGGAAUAUUGCACAAUGGGGGAAACCCUGAUGCAGCGACGCCGCGUGAGUGAAGAAGUAUUUCGGUAUGUAAAGCUCUAUCAGCAAGGAAGAAAAUGACGGUACUUGACUAAGAAGCCCCGGCUAACUACGUGCCAGCAGCCGCGGUAAUACGUAGGGGGCAAGCGUUAUCCGGAUUUACUGGGUGUAAAGGGAGCGUAGACGGCAUGGCAAGUCUGAAGUGAAAGGCUGGGGCUCAACCCCGGGACUGCUUUGGAAACUGUUAAGCUAGAGUGCAGGAGAGGUAAGUGGAAUUCCUAGUGUAGCGGUGAAAUGCGUAGAUAUUAGGAGGAACACCGGUGGCGAAGGCGGCUUACUGGACUGUAACUGACGUUGAGGCUCGAAAGCGUGGGGAGCAAACAGG